ensembl:snRNA U6 U6 spliceosomal RNA
AUGCUCACUUUGGCAGCACAUAGACUACACUUGGAAUGAUACAGAGAAGGUUAAGAUGAUCCCUGCACAAGGAUGACACACACAUUCAUGAAGUGUUCUAUGUUUUU